GGAAGGAUCAUUAUCAAAAAUUCAUAUUUUUGAAUAUAACCCUUCAACCCAUGUCUACUGAUUCUCUGUUGCUUCCACUGGACAGGUAUCUAUUGUUCAAAACCUUUUUUGAACCGUAUUUGCCCUUCAAGUCUCAUAAUUGAGCUUGGGGAAUUGCUAGUGGGUAGCCUAUGUUAAUACCAUUAUGGCAAGCAUUUUAUUCAUAAGUCUGAAAAAAAAAUGAAACUAAAUGAAAAAAAACUUUCAACAACGGAUCUCUAGGCUCUUGCAUCGAUGAAGAACGCAGUGAAAUGUGAUAAGUAAUGUGAAUUGCAGAAUCUCGUGAAUCAUUGAAUUUUUGAACGCAUAUUGCGCCCAAUGGUAUUCCAUUGGGCAUACCUGUUUGAGAGUCAGAAUCCUUUUAAAUGGUCAAACUUCCUAUAUAUGGAGAUGUUUGGUAUUGAGAGACGUAAUAAAGAUUUCCUAUGUUACACUCUUAAAAAUCAGAAUUUCAGGUUGGUUGCUUCAAUCUCAUUUUGUAUGUGAUAAUCUUAAUGAAUGAAUAAAACCACCAUGAAUGUACGUAAACAGAACACUUGGUAUGACCUCAAAUCAGGUAGGGAUACCCGCUGAACUUAAGCAUAUCAAUAAGCGGAGGAAAAGAAACCAACAGGGAUUGCCUUAGUAACGGCGAGUGAAGUGGCAAAAGCUCAGAUUUGAAAUCGGGUGUUUUUAUAGACGCUUGAGUUGUAAUCUGUAGAGGAGUUUUCAGAGGAUGACUAUGGUUAAAGUGCCUUGGAAAAGGACAUCAUAGAGGGUGAGAAUCCUGUUUAUGGCCUUAGUACUUCUCUAUUAUGAAUCUCCUUCAAUGAGUCGAGUUGUUUGGGAAUGCAGCUCUAAAUGGGUGGUAAAUUCCCAUCUAAAGCUAAAUAUAGGCAAGAGACCGAUAGCGCACAAGUAGAGUGAUCGAAAGAUGAAAAGAACUCUGAACAGAGAGUUAAAA
rnacentral:rRNA from 1 species